GCGCGAGUGGCGGAACUGGUAGACGCGUACGUUUGAGGGGCGUAUAGGUAUGUCCUGUGUGAGUUCGAUUCUCAUCCCGCGCACCA
rnacentral:tRNA from 1 species